rnacentral:tRNA from 1 species
GCAUUGGUGGCUCAGUGGUAGAGUUCUCACCUGCCAUGCGGGAGACCCGAGUCCGAUUCCCGGCCAAUGAA